rnacentral:rRNA from 1 species
UACGAAGGGGGCUAGCGUUGUUCGGAAUCACUGGGCGUAAAGCGCACGUAGGCGGAUGUUGCCAGUCAGGGGUGAAAUCCCGGAGCUCAACUCCGGAACUGCCUCUGAUACAGCACGUCUUGAGUUCGAGAGAGGUGGGUGGAAUUCCUAGUGUAGAGGUGAAAUUCGUAGAUAUUAGGAAGAACACCGGUGGCGAAGGCGGCCCAACUGGCUCGAUACUGACGCUGAGGUGCGAAAGCGUGGGGAGCAAACAGG